GACAGAGGGUGCAAACGUUGUUCGGAAUUAUUGGGCGUAAAGAGCUCGUAGGCGGCCUGUCGCGUCGGAUGUGAAAGCCCGGGGCUUAACCCCGGGUCUGCAUUCGAUACGGGCAGGCUAGAGUGUGGUAGGGGAGAUCGGAAUUCCUGGUGUAGCGGUGAAAUGCGCAGAUAUCAGGAGGAACACCGGUGGCGAAGGCGGGUCUCUGGGCCGAUACUGACGCUGAGGAGCGAAAGCGUGGGGAGCGAACAGG
rnacentral:rRNA from 1 species